rnacentral:rRNA from 1 species
GUGUCAGCAGCCGCGGUAAUACGUAGGUUGCGAGCGUUAUCCGGAUUCAUUGGGCGUAAAGAGCUUGUAGGUGGCUAGGUAAGUUGGACGUGAAAACUCUGGGCUUAACUUGGAGAGGCCGUUCAAUACUGCAUAGCUAGAGGAUGUCAGAGGGAAGUGGAAUUCCUGGUGUAGCAGUGAAAUGCGUAGAUAUCAGGAGGAACACCCGUGGCGAAGGCGGCUUCCUGGGACAUUACUGACACUGAGAAGCGAAAGCUAGGGGAGCAAACGGGAUUAGAAACCCCUGUAGUCC